rnacentral:rRNA from 1 species
CCUACGGGUGGCUGCAGUGAGGAAUAUUGGUCAAUGGCCGGAAGGCUGAACCAGCCAUGCCGCGUGAAGGUCAGUGCCCUAUGGGCGUUAAACUUCUUUUGUGCGGGAGCAAUAAUGGUCACGUGUGGCCAGACGAGAGUACCGUACGAAUAAGCAUCGGCUAACCCCGUGCCAGCAGCGGCGGUAAUACGGGGGAUGCAAGCGUUCUCCGGAUUUAUUGGGUUUAAAUGGUGCGUAGGCUGUGAGGUAAGUCAGCGGGGAAAUGCCCCCGCUCAACGGGGUGAAGUGCCAUUGAUACUGCCUUGUUGGAAUGCGAAUGCCGUGAGAGGAAUGUGUGGUGUAGCGGUGAAAUGCAUGGAUAUCACACAGAACACCGAUUGCGAAGGCAUCUCACGAAUCCGCGAUUGACGCUGAUGCACGAAAGCGUGGGUAUCAAACAGGAUUAGAUACCCUAGUAGUC